rnacentral:rRNA from 1 species
CCUACGGGAGGCAGCAGUGGGGAAUAUUGCUCAAUGGGGGAAACCCUGACGCAGCGACGCCGCGUGAGGGAUGAAUGAUCUCGGUAUGUAAAGCCCUUUUUGUAGGGAAGAAAAUGACGGUACCUGACGAAUAAGCCCCGGCUAACUACGUGCCAGCAGCCGCGGUAAUACGGAGGGGGCAAGCGUUACCCGGAUUUACUGGGGGUAAAGGGAGCGUAGGCGGGAUAGCAAGUCCGGUGGGAAAACCUAGGGCUUAACCAUAGUACUGCAUUUGAAACUGUGGUGCUAGAGUAGGGGAGGGGUAGGUGGAAGUCGUGGUGUAGGGGGGAAAUCCGUAGAGAUCAAGCGGAACCCUGAUUGCGAAGGCGGCCU